AACAUCAAAUAUUAUACCAAGCAACCAUAUUCAUAUAUCUCAUUAGAGUUUAAUGAUAUGAUAUUUUAAAAUAUACAUCAUAAUGAUAUUUACCUCUGAUAUUAUAUCAUAUCCUGUUAGAAAUGAAAUCAGAAUAUCCAAAUAGAAAUGAAAUAGGUUCGUUGAGGCAUCCAAUGGAAUCAGCAUUUAUGAUCCACUCAACGGUGCAGAUGAAAUCAAAACAUCCAAUUUCAAGAGGCACGGGUGUACUUAAUGGCAGCUCUGGUCGGCGAAAGCAGACCAACAUGAACCCACGUGGACAGCAAAUAUAUUCGGUGCCGUCCACCAACCAUGUUGGCACAAUCUCCACUCACCAUGCUCAUGGUUGAGCUGUUCCUUCCACGUGGCACAACCCCCAUUGGUUUCACCAAGCACCCAUGAACCCUUGCCCCCACAUAAAUAUCGACGCCCCACCCCCUCUCAAACCAUAAUAGAGCCAUUCACAUCAAUUUUACAUAACAUCUCACUCCCUACUAAUUUUCCCUUAAAAUGGCUCGUUUCACCUUCUCUAAUGCUCUGUUUUCCUUGGUUGUGAUUUCGGCAUUCGCUGUUCUAGCAUCAGGGCAAGGUGGUGAGAUGGCGCCGGCGCCAACUCCGACCAUGGACAAAGGAUCGGCAGUCAACUUCCCGGUGGCCGGAACACUCCUGGGGUGUUCUCUUGUCUUCUCCAUGCUUGGCCUGUUGAAGCGUUAGGGUGGUGGCUCCUGAGUGUGAGUGCUUUUGAGUGUUGCAGCGGUGGUGAUUUUAUGUUUCCGUGAUUCUUCCAUUGAUUGUAUUGUUAAGACCAAAUGCUCAAUAAAGUUCUUUCUUUUGUUUUCCUUUUUCUUUCUUUUUAGCCUUUGUUAUUAUAUUUUUCUUUAUUUUAUUGUAUAUAAAAAAAAAUGAUUACCUUUCUUUAAGAUGAAUACACUUGAUCAUCAUUAAUUCAAAAUUUCAUUAAAUAAUAUCUUAAAGGUAUUAAAGUCUAAUCUCAAUGGAGGUUGAUGAAAUUAACCCGAGGUAUGUAUGAAAAGAUUGAGGCAUACUUGAAAAAGGGAAGCAAAGCGUG
rnacentral:lncRNA from 1 species